UGUAUGUUAUGUGUAUCUAAGAUGGUUUGUUUGGUUUUACAAUAUACAUUGUAUGAAUCCAGCCAUUUUACUAAGCAAGCCAUGAUUAAAAUAAAGAUUUGGCAGGAUAUGUGAACCAAGUCACAGAAAGUACUUUCUCUUCAGCCUGUUUGAGAACCAACAGGAGAGGUUUUUUUCCUGAAAUCAGGCAAAGGUCUUGUUCAAGAAGUGCCACAUAGCUAAUCACCAUGGGCUUGGCUCCUAGCAUUUUUACCAUAAGAGCAAAGUCUGAACCUUACCUUCAGAUAAUUAAUGAGCAAUGUUUGCAGGACCUUCAAGAGUAGACUGGAAAAUAGGACUCUAUAUUGAUUCCCCCCCUUUUUUAAAAAAAUUUUUACAUGGUUGUCACAACUUUGAAGAUGCCCUCUUUGUUUGUGAUUUUGAAUAUUAGGAGCCACAGUGGUAGUAGGAGCAAUAAUAUGAAAUGGUAAACUUGGAAUUUUGUUUUUCUUGGGGGGCAGAUGAAAUGUUGUGGCCUUCAAAUCAGUAUUGACUUCUGGACUAGUCCAGUCUUCUUGGUAAUAUUUUGGAAGCACUUUGUCAUUGCCUUCAUAACCAGCCCAAGGUUAUCCAACUGGUUUCAUGCAUAAAAUGGGACUAACAUUCAUCACCAUCUACUGGUUUGUAAUCUGAUACCUUAACUACUAUACUAAACUGGCUGUCUAAAAUAACUACACAGAGUUUAAAUUAUAACAAUAAUGGUGUUUCUAUCCAAAAAUAAAAGUAUGCCUGAAGCAUAAAUCACACUGUGUAGAACUGAGAAAUUCUAGUUGUUUUUAACUCAAGGAAAAAUGAAGCACCGAUUGUACUCAGUUCCAGUCUGAAAAUGGAGCUCUGUUUCCAAUAGGUAAUUCAGAAUAUAUACAUGUUUGUGUAUAAAUCUGAUACUUUUGGAUAUAGGAAUCAAUAGAUGCACUCUAUAAGUGUCCUUAUCUUCACUCAUAAGGAUAUAGGGAAGGAUGUACCAGUAUAUAUUUGGUAUCAUACAAUAAUCCUAUUCCAUCCAGAUUCUCCAUAUAAGCGACUGAUAGCAAUUUUUGCAAAUUUUUUAUUCAUCCAUUUUCUCAUUCUUGCUUGAUCUUCCAGUUAUCUAGUUUAUCAUUUCUCUCCAUCCGAUCCUUUCAUCAUUGCACAGACACUUAUUUAUUUUGAUUAAAGGCAAUAAUUUCAAUUGCAUUAAUUUAAUUAUCUUUCAUGCAUUUAUAAUUCCUUAUAAGUUUAUAAUCUUUCUUUUUAACUAUGCAGAAUAAAUAUAUUAAUUUAUUUCUGUCAUUUAUAUGCUAUUAAUCUACAUGGGUCCUAGCCAAGUACAUCAAUAAAACAAUAAUAAAAUUAAAGCAAUAAUAAUAAUACAUUAUAAUAGCAGAACAUGCACUCUUCAUCCCUCACUUGCAGCUCUGUCUUCUUCACAAAGUUCCAGAAGGCCAUUGAAGUAAAUUCUGUUCUGAGCUUGUAUACAAAUUGGGAUGUGUCUUCCUACCUUUUUAUAGAAUUGGGCAAACUUUACCUUCCUAAUAAUCUAGGGCUCUUACAAAUUUCAUCUUAUUUAAAUUUAAAAAAAAACAAAACUGCCAGGUCCCCCUUCCUCCUUGCAAACCAACGAGGACUGAUUUAUGAUGUGAUGAUCUGGCCACUGCAUGGUCAAGAGGUCCUUGGACUGCUCUACUAAAACCAGAAAAUUACAUUGCUAAUGUUCAAUGGAAAAUCAGAUUUCAACAAAACAGAUGAAGGAGGUUACAAAAAAAAAAAAAAGUUGUAGAUGCACAUUUUCCCAGCAUCUUUCAUUUAUGCCAAUGCUGGCUAAAUAUAAGACUCCUGUCAGUUAUAGACUAUAAGUGGUAAAAAAUAGAAUGACAUUGGAAAAACACAGGAGCAUGAACUUGGAUAUGGAAUUUUUUAAAAUAAUAUAAAUAUAGAUUUAUAUAACUGCCCAUUUCACCCAAGUGACUUUGGGCAGCUUUAAUACUUUGGGUAUUAAAACACAGAAAAAAUGCAACAUAUUAGGAUUAUGGUUAGCAUCACCCCCUUACCCAAGGAUAAACAAAAGCCCCAUCAGAAGAAGAAAAAAACUAGCAGAGCUCAUCUAUCUACCUAGAUGCUCGAGGAAAUAACACCUUGGGUUGGGCUUGCAGGGUUGGGACCAUUCAAAUGUCUUGAGAUGCUGUUCCAUAGGCCAGAUGCUGCCACUGCAGAUGCUGAGAAGGUACAGCUUCAGAGUCAGACAAGAUGGUACUGUUUCUUACCUGUACAAUGAGCCAGUUUGAUCUAGUGAUUAAGGCAUCAGUCUAGAAACCAGGAGACAGUUUAGUUCUGCCUUAGGCACAAAAACCGGCUGGGUCACUCACUCUUGGCCCAACCCACUUCACAGAGUUGUGGAGAAUAUAGGAGGAGGAAAGAAUAUUAAGUAUAUAUAAAAAUAAUAAAGGUGGAAUAAUCAUUCUCAGGAGAGUACCAACUUGGAAGGAUGGUUGUUUUGUUCAUUUGUUUCUUCUGUUUGGUUAUGAUUUCUUUUUAUAGGUACAGUUAGUUUAUCUGUAAGCUGCCACAGUUUUUAAGGAGAUGGGUGGCCUUGAAAUGGGAUAAGGGAGAAAUAAAUAAACUUGCCAUGAAAUAGCACCAAGUUUGUCUUUUAAUCAAGACCAAUGUUUCUCAACCUUAACAACUUUACGCUAUGUGGACUUCAACUCCCAGAAUUCCACAACCAGCAUGACCAGACUGGUUGAAUAUUGCAACUUUCACAAACGUGGCUGAAUGAUGAUUUAUUUCUUUCAUAUUACAAAAAAUAAUAGGUGCUGGCUUCAUUCAUAUCUGAACAACAGAAGCUAAAAUUAUAACGUCUUUGGAAUACGUGCAGCUCUAGGUCUAGGCUACUCAGCAGUCAAAAUGCAUGGCUUUUAUACAGCUUCAAAGUCUAAUAAAUAUAUUUACAUCAGUUUCUAGUAUCAUGUUAUAUAAUAACAUCUAUGGUUUCUUUGAUUCAAGGAUCCCUUCUCAUUUUGUCAUACUUGUCAGUCUUAAAAAUCAGUGGCAACAUCUUAUUCUCACACCCAAGGAUCACUGCCUGAGAGAAUAUGCAUGCACAUACAUGUAGAUAUUAUAUAAUCUCUAUCACCACAAUUAGAUAUUGCUGCAGGCUUUUCUCCAUCUGUGUGCAGUGUACUUUGUAGUCAUCUGUACUAUGUCUCUUGGAAAACAUGGAAAAUAUUUUAGCUGAAGGAUGCUUAGAAAUAACAAAAAAUUAUUACAUUCUAUUACAAAAAAUUCUAUUACAUUUUCAAUUAGUAUCUUAUCAGUUGCUGGGUGCAGAAUGGCAAGCUGAUGGUAAUAUAGUAAUGUAUUUUAAUUGAUGUUUAAAUGUAUAUGUGUGAGAGAUAAGAUGCAAAAAAAAAAAAUUAAAUGUAGCUCCUGCAGAGCUGAUAGGGAUGAAUUAGACCUUAGUGGCAACUCUAGCAAUUUACCUGAACAGUAUUACUAAACGGCAAUCUAUAAAAUUUGAAAGAGGCAACAUGGGUGCAAAUAAUUAUUCAUGCUGGAAAAUGGAGAUCAGCUGAAUAUAGGCUGUUCUAGAAUAAACGUGGGUUAAUAUUCAUGCUGUGUAAUCACUCAAAACUAUUUUUCUCUAUAUAUCCUUGAUCAUUAUCAUAUAUUUUUUACCUUAACCUCGGAGUUCGGAGUAAUGUCUUUCAAAGUUCUUUUGGUUAUAUUCUUAAGUUCUUUUAUUGCUGUGCAUGGUAGAGGAUGCUACUGCUACUGUUGUAGAUUUCUACUACUACUCUUUCCAUCACUCUCUAGCCUUCCUGGAUAUUCACACUGUCCUACAAGUAGAUGAAGACAUGCCCUUUGGGAAUUUAACAAAAAUGUACAAAAAUCAAGAGCAGCUGCUGGAAAUAGGAUCGCACAGAAAAUGAAGGAUAUCCACAGAUGCCCCUUAAUUAACCUUUUCAUCUAAAUUAAUCAAAACAAGAUGGUCCACAUUAACUGAAGCUGAAUUCAAUCCAACCUUACAUACUGCAGUCUGUUAAUAAACUCGGAUCCGUUCAACCAAUCUUCCCAGCCCUGACCCAUCUGGCUUUCCAAAGGCCAAGAGAAUUUGGCUGUGAAGGCAUACUCUGAGAACAAAAGAUGGAUUGUCUUGAACAAGAUGCUGGAUCCUCCAGGCGCCCCUCCAGGGUGUUUUCAGCUUCUGUCUAACCAUGUGAUUUCAAGUUGUCUUAUGCUAUACCAUCUGGACAAGAGAAGAUGUCUGAUGUCUGUAAGAUACCUUCCAACAAUCCCUUCCUUAUAGCUCAGAAAGUCCUAAAAGUAGAACAGAUCUAGUACACAAAUUAGUAAUGGCAUAAUCCAAGCCAGCGUUUAUCCCAAAAUUUGUUUAAAAUGCCAAACUUUAAAGCAUAAAAAGCAUAUAAAGAAAUCUAUAAUUCUACUCAGGAUGAAAUGUGCAAUCCUAAAAAUUAAAAUGCUAGGACCCAGUACCUACACAAGCAUAUUAAAAGUUACAAAUUAAAGACAUAACCCUAACUAAAAAAAACACAAGCUGUAGAAGAAUAUGAUGAGCAUAAAUCAUUCUAUCAUUAUGCAUCUUGAAUUCCUCUUCUUCCAAUUAAAGCCUCUUUGCUGACUGACCAAAAGAAAUUGCAGAAGAAUUGAAAGUAGGAUAAGAAAGGCAGGGCAAACUCCAGGCAGAUUAGAAGACAAUAAUACUAUAUCAAUAUGCUGAGUUGAUGCAAUCCUAAUUUAAUGGGAUAUCUCAAUAUCUAUAUCCCCCUGCCUAACUUGAAAGAUGAUUGAAUUAAGCAAUUUCAACCACUCUAAUUUUCUAUGAUUCUUUAUUGCUCGUUUUGACUCUUUAGCACUGCCUAUUAUUAUAAGCUUUGUCUUUGCCUAUGAAGGUUCUUUAGCAACAGUACUAGAAUUAGUUUGUUAUUGCCUUUUCCGGGAGCCCUUCCAGUCUGGCCUGUAGCCAUGAUAGUCUCUCAUGAAAUACCAAUGAGGUCUCAACAACAACAACAAUUUAUUAUUACAGUCUUAGACCGGAACAAAUAAAAGCACUCAGUAUGCUAUAUAUACUUAAAACUCCUAGUAUAAAAUAAUAAAUUGUUUGUAUAGGAUUUUAUUGGCGAUAUAUGUUUGAACUUUGUGCUUUGAUAUGGCCUAUAGGCUAAUCAAUAAAGCUAUCUAUCUAUCUUA